GUCCACACGGUAAACGAUGGAUACUCGCUGUUGGCGAUAUACUGUCAGCGGCUUAGCGAAAGCGUUAAGUAUCCCACCUGGGGAGUACGCCGGCAACGGUGAAACUCAAAGGAAUUGACGGGGGCCCGCACAAGCGGAGGAACAUGUGGUUUAAUUCGAUGAUACGCGAGGAACCUUACCCGGGCUUAAAUUGCAAAGGAAUUGCGUGGAAACAUGCAAGUCUUCGGACCUUUGUGAAGGUGCUGCAUGGUUGUCGU
rnacentral:rRNA from 1 species